GAUGAACGCUGGCGGCGUGCCUAAUACAUGCAAGUCGAGCGAACAGACGAGGAGCUUGCUCCUCUGACGUUAGCGGCGGACGGGUGAGUAACACGUGGAUAACCUACCUAUAAGACUGGGAUAACUUCGGGAAACCGGAGCUAAUACCGGAUAACAUGUUGAACCGCAUGGUUCAACAGUGAAAGACGGUUUUGCUGUCACUUAUAGAUGGAUCCGCGUCGCAUUAGCUAGUUGGUAAGGUAACGGCUUACCAAGGCAACGAUGCGUAGCCGACCUGAGAGGGUGAUCGGCCACACUGGAACUGAGACACGGUCCAGACUCCUACGGGAGGCAGCAGUAGGGAAUCUUCCGCAAUGGGCGAAAGCCUGACGGAGCAACGCCGGGUGAGUGAAGAAGGUCUUCGGAUCGUAAAACUCUGUUAUUAGGGAAGAACAAAUGUGUAAGUAACUAUGCACGUCUUGACGGUACCUAAUCAGAAAGCCACGGCUAACUACGUG
rnacentral:rRNA from 1 species